rnacentral:rRNA from 1 species
UACGGGGGGGGCAAGCGUUGUUCGGAAUUACUGGGCGUAAAGGGCUCGUAGGCGGCCAACUAAGUCAGACGUGAAAUCCCUCGGCUUAACCGGGGAACUGCAUCUGAUACUGGAUGGCUUGAGUUCGGGAGAGGGAUGCGGAAUUCCAGGUGUAGCGGUGAAAUGCGUAGAUAUCCGGAGGAACACCGGUGGCGAAGGCGGCUUCCUGGACCGACACUGACGCUGAGGCGCGAAAGCUAGGGAAGCAAACGGG